rnacentral:rRNA from 1 species
GUGUCAGCAGCCGCGGUAAAACGUAGGUGGCGAGCGUUAUCCGGAUUUACUGGGCGUAAAGCGUGUGCAGGCGGGCUGUCAAGUGGUGCAUGAAAUCGCUCGGCUUAACCGGGCGCGGUUGUGCCAGACUGACAGUCUAGAGUGCGGGAGAGGGGCGUGGAAUUCCGGGUGUAGUGGUGAAAUGCGUAGAGAUCCGGAGGAACCCCAGAGGCGAAGGCGGCGCCCUGGCCCGACACUGACGCUCAGACACGACAGCAUGGGGAGCGAACGGGAUUAGAAACCCUGGUAGUCC